GGUCCCUGCUCUGGCAGCGACGGCAUCUCGUGGGCGCUUCUUCAGUUGUUGGCUCAAGUUGCGGAUCGCCUUGACCAACGACGGUUUCCUGUAUUGUAUACCUAUCGAGAAGGCAUGUUGUAGUCCCAAUGUCCCUUUCCCUCCUUGUGCUGCGCCUUUCGGGGCAGCAGUACGGGGUGGGCACCGAAGCAUUCGUUGUGUUCCACGACUCGCGUGCUUCAUAGUGCGCUUUUGUCGUUGGCCCAUGUCGUUUUGCUCGAUCUCUCGGAUUCGGAAUACCGACGCGGUACGAGGUCCCUGACCUCUAUUUGCCCCGAAAACAAAGCGUUCUACGCUCCAUGCGGACGACGUUCGUUUACGUUUUGGUCGAGUCUCUCGGCUCAUGCGUGAUCGGCGUCGGUGAGGAAUGCUAC
rnacentral:misc_RNA from 1 species